AUUGAACGCUGGCGGCAUGCCUUACACAUGCAAGUCGAACGGCAGCACGGGAGCAAUCCUGGUGGCGAGUGGCGAACGGGUGAGUAAUGUAUCGGAACGUGCCCAGUCGUGGGGGAUAACGUAGCGAAAACUACGCUAAUACCGCAUACGAUCUAUGGAUGAAAGCGGGGGAUCGCAAGACCUCGCGCGAUUGGAGCGGCCGAUAUCGGAUUAGGUAGUUGGUGGGGUAAAGGCCCACCAAGCCUUCGAUCUGUAGCUGGUCUGAGAGGACGACCAGCCACACUGGAACUGAGACACGGUCCAGACUCCUACGGGAGGCAGCAGUGGGGAAUUUUGGACAAUGGGCGCAAGCCUGAUCCAGCAAUGCCGCGUGCAGGAUGAAGGCCUUCGGGUUGUAAACUGCUUUUGUACGGAGCGAAAAGGCUCUCUCUAAUACAGGGGGCUCAUGACGGUACCGUAAGAAUAAGCACCGGCUAACUACGUGCCAGCCGCCGCCGUAA
rnacentral:rRNA from 1 species